CAUCAUCCUAACCGCACAUCCCCUAAUCCAAGGGCCAAAAACUUAUAUUUUAUUUAUAAAUCUGUAUUUAUUUAUUAAUAUUUCUAAAUAUAUAAUAUAACAUAUUAUAUAUGAUGUAACAUAUUUAUUAUAAUUUUAAAUAUAUUUAAUCUAUAUAUAAAAAUUAUAAUAAUAUAUAAAAUAUAUUAAUUAUUAUAUAUUAAUAAUAUAUAAUAAAAAAUAAUAAAUAGUUUUUCAUCUAUUUUUUUUCCUUCCAACCAAACAACCAUCGUGAAAAACUAUUUUUCUUUUCCAACAAAUCAAACACUAACUACGUAAAACCGUUUUUUCACCAAAAAUUUUUUAUUCACCGAAAAAAAUUUUUCCACAGUUUUACGUGAAACCAAACACACCCUAAACGAAAAAGCAGUGAUGUGGGGAAAA
rnacentral:lncRNA from 1 species